rnacentral:rRNA from 1 species
UACGGAGGAUCCAAGCGUUAUCCGGAUUUAUUGGGUUUAAAGGGUGCGUAGGCGGGAGAUUAAGUCAGUGGUGAAAGUUUGCGGCUCAACCGUAAAAUUGCCAUUGAUACUGGUUUUCUUGAGUACAGUUGAGGUAGGCGGAAUGUGGUGUGUAGCGGUGAAAUGCUUAGAUAUACCACAGAACACCGAUUGCGAAGGCAGCUUACUAAGUUGUAACUGACGCUGAAGCACGAAAGCAUGGGGAUCAAACAGG